ACGCCCGCAGGACUCCGUCAACGUGGAUGCCGUCAUCAGCAAGAUCGAGAGCACCUUCGCCCGGUUCCCCCACGAGAGGGCCACCAUGGACGACAUGGGCCUGGUGGCCAAGGACGUGGUGAACACGCACCCGGGGCUGUCGUUCCUGAAGGAGGCGUCCGAGUUCCACUCGCGCUACAUCACCACGGUGGGUCCCCAGCGGAGGGGCCGUCGGUUCCAGCGCGGGGCGCGGGUGUUUCUGCAGCGGCCGC
rnacentral:sRNA from 1 species